GGCCUCAUAGCCUAGUGGUUAGUGUACUAGCUCGCUAAGCGUGAGGUCGUAGGUUCGAGCACCACUCGUGUCAAGUGCAUGGCCCUGCAAGUUUUUCGGCGCUCGCGCAUAUGAUGUGGCAGCCCCACUUCUGAGAUAGGUUGCACUCGGCUAAUCACCGGAUCGACUGAACAAUAACGAUUACAGAAACAAACACAAGAUCAG